UACGUAGGGGGCAAGCGUUGUCCGGAUUUAUUGGGCGUAAAGAGCGUGUAGGCGGCCAGACAAGUCUGAUGUGAAAGCCCGGGGCUCACCCCCGGAAGUGCAUUGGAAACUGGCGGACUCGAGUCCCGGAGAGGAGAGUGGAAUUCCUGGUGUAGCGGUGAAAUGCGUAGAUAUCAGGAGGAACACCCGUGGCGAAGGCGGCUCUCUGGGACGGUACUGACGCUGAGACGCGAAAGCGUGGGGAGCGAACAGG
rnacentral:rRNA from 1 species